AUUUAUGUAACCAUUCAUCCCUUGAAGAACAUCUGGGUUGUUUCCAGUGGGCAAUUAUAAACAGAGCCUCUAUCAACAUUCCUGUACCAGUUUUAGAAUGAACAUAAAUUUAUAUUUCUCUAAGUACUCAGGAGUAGAAUUGACGUUCUGUCAUAUGGAUAGCCACUGAGCAAGCCUGUAAGGCUAUUGGUCUGCCCAUUCUGGUUUCUUCACCAAUGAGAAAACUGGGACCUGGGGAGUUUGCAGAAGCCAUCCAAGGGCACCUGCUUCUCACAGCACAGCAGCUUCCUGCAGCCCUCCCUCCUGUCUUGUUUCUCCCUUAAUUGAGAGGAGAGGCCAGAACCAGAUGCAGGCAGUUCCAACAGUAAUGAAUUGCUCUAAGGUGUGGAUCCAAGAACCGGUGACAAGGUCAGGAAAUUCCAUCCCGGGACACUGACCCAACUAAGAGACUGUGCAUGAUGGCUAAGUUCAGAGCUCUGAGGAGAUGGUAAAACUCAUUUGCAACGAAACAAGAUAUUUUCCAACUCUGCAGCCAGAAACCAUCCUCCUGGCUGUCUCACCAUCAGCGCCACCUCUCCGUGGGU
rnacentral:lncRNA from 10 species